rnacentral:snRNA from 1 species
GUAUUCCAUACGGAAUACAUAUAAUAAAAUUGGAAAGAUACAGAGAAGAUUAGCAUGGCCCCUGCGCAAGGAUGACACGCAAAAUCGUGAAGCGUUCCACAUUCCC